rnacentral:rRNA from 1 species
CUAUUAUUUUAAGUGUUAAUCAUGUUUACCAGGGUAGUAUUAGUUAGGAUCUUAAAACUCAAAGAAUUUGGCGGUAUUUCAUUCCAUUUAGAGGAACCUACCCCGUAAUUGAUAAUACACGAUUAACUAUACUUAAUUUAUUUGUUUGUAUAUCUCCGUUAUCAGAAAAUCUUUUUGGAGUUAUAAUUUUCUUGAUUUAUAAUUAUAAAAUAUUUCAGGUCAAGGUGCAGCUUAUAAUUAAGAGGAGGUGGGUUACAAUAAAUUUUAGUUUAUUACGUAUUUAAUGGUGAAAGACUAUUAAUAAAGGUGGAUUUAAUAGUAAUUUGAUUUAUUUAAUUCAAUUGAUUUUGGCUCUGAGGUGUGUACACAUCGCCCC